AUUGAACGCUGGCGGCAUGCUUUACACAUGCAAGUCGAACGGCAGCGCGGAGAAGCUUGCUUCUCUGUCGGCGAGUGGCGAACGGGUGAGUAUAGCAUCGGAACGUGCCAAGUAGUGGGGGAUAACCAAACGAAAGUUUGGCUAAUACCGCGUAAGCUCUAAGGAGGAAAGUAGGGGACCAAAAUAAGGCUUUACGUUAUUUGAUCGGCCGAUGUCGGAUUAGCUAGUUGGUGGGGUAAUUGCUCACCAAGGCAAUGAUCCGUAGCGGGUCUGAGAGGACGAUCCGCCACACUGUGACUGAGACACGGUCCAGGCUCCUACGGGAGUCAGCAUUGGGGAAUUUUUGACUAUAGGGGAAACCCUAAUCCAGCCAUGCCGCGUGUAUGAAGAAGGCCUUAGAGUUGUAAAGUACUUUUGUUAGGGAAGAACAGCUAGUUUUUAAUAAAAAUUAGUGAUGACGGUACCUAAAGAAUGAGCACCGGCUAACUACGUG
rnacentral:rRNA from 1 species